AAUCAGGGUUUAAGAAAUGAAAAG
rnacentral:miRNA from 1 species